rnacentral:rRNA from 1 species
GACGAACGCUGGCGGCGUGCUUAACACAUGCAAGUCGAACGGAAAGGCCCUGCUUGCAGGGUGCUCGAGUGGCGAACGGGUGAGUAACACGUGGGUGAUCUGCCCCUUACUUUGGGAUAAGCCUGGGAAACUGGGUCUAAUACUGGAUAGGACCAUGCUGUAGGUGGUGUGGUGGAAAGAUUAGUUUCGGUAAGGGAUGAGCUCGCGGCCUAUCAGCUUGUUGGUGGGGUAAUGGCCUACCAAGGCGUCGACGGGUAGCCGGCCUGAGAGGGUGGACGGCCACAUUGGGACUGAGAUACGGCCCAGACUCCUACGGGAGGCAGCAGUGGGGAAUAUUGCACAAUGGGCGCAAGCCUGAUGCAGCGACGCCGCGGGGGGGAUGACGGCCUUCGGGUUGUAAACUCCUUUCAGCCAUGACGAAGCCCUUGUGGUGACGGUAGUGGUAGAAGAAGCACCGGCUAACUACGUG